GCCUCUGUAGCUCAGUUGGUUAGAGCGUUGUACCGGAAUCGCAGGGCCGUAGGUUCAAUUCCUACCAGAGGAC